UAAGAAAAUGCUAAAGCAUGUAAAAAUUCACAAAAUCGUAAUAACCCGCCAAACAUUGUUAGAUAUUGAAUUUGGAAUAAAAAAAUAACAUCAAUAAAAACAAAUAGAAAAAAAGCCAAACUAUGCGUUAUAGUCUAUAAUUGAUGGGUGUAAUAAUUAGAGCCAUGAGCUAUUAGCUUCUGUGAUAUGUAAGAAAAAAUAUUUUCCACGAGAUGGAUUUGAGUCCCUUAAUUCAUUGAAUAAUCAUUUGUAACUGCACAAGUAGUUUAUUAGCUUUACUUGGUAAUGAUUUUUUUACCACACCUUUUCCAUGAGGUAGAUGUCCUAGUAGGGGUUUAUAUUUCCCCCCUCCUUAGCCCCCCUAUAUUCUUUCUUCCUAUUCCUUCC
rnacentral:lncRNA from 1 species